UCUCUCUCUCUGUGUGUGUGUGUGUUGUUUUUUAACCGAAAGCUUGAAACUUGUUUGGUGGCAAAUAUGGCGAUGGUGGUGGAGAACAACGUGAUGGUGGCCGGCAUCAGGCAGCGGUGGUCGGUGGCAGCAGUGGCUGGUGACAGCAAUGAUGGCGAACAGUGGGGGUGGCCACCGAUUGCUGAUAGGAGGUGGCGAUUGGUGGUGGAUGGUGGCCAGUGAUGGCAACCGGCAGUAAUUGGUGGCUAGCAAUGUUUGGCAAAUGGGCGGAUGUGACGGCAUGCGGUAGCAGUAGUGGCAGAUGGUGGGCGAUUGGGGAGGUGGCAAGCCAUUGCUAGUUUUCAGAAAAGUCAGCCACAUUUUCUGGUUUCUACAAUUUUCAGAAACUGGUUGUCGGUUUCAAAAAAUGGAAAAUGGAAAACGGAUUAUUAACACAUGUUCUGCCUGGCAACCAUGUCAAGAAGUGCCUAGAUAAAAGAAAAUCUUCAUUUUUAUUUAAGCUAAAGUUGAGUAUUUGGAUAUUUGAAUUAAAAAAUAUCUUAGUAUCCAGCUAUCUGACUCCAAAUCCAAAAAAGAUUCAAAUCCAUCUGAAGAAACCUACCAUUCGGAGAUCUGGAUCCGAAUCCCAGAAGAAUACUUAAAAUCCGUUGGAAAGGAGCAAGUGGUUGGAUUGGCCUGACUGUAUAUGUAUCUAAAUAUCUAUAUCCGAAUCCUUAUUCAAAUCUUAUCAAACAGUGAUUUUUCUAUUCAAAUUUGAUGUGGUCUAGAUCUGGAUUUAUCAGAGCCCCUAUCGGGCCUAUUUCUAAUUUGUGUCAUUCUCUGGAUAUCUUCAUUGUUUUGCAGCUUUUGCCUUCCCACAGCACCUUCUGGAAUGGUUUUCUUGGUCGACUGCCUCCUGCAGCACAUUUUCCCCCCCUCUAAUUAUUCUUUCUUUAUCAGUUUGACGUUUCGGAGUUCUGAUGGUGGUGUUUGCUUGAUCCUUUCAUCUUGUUCCAUGGUUCCUGCAUUAAGGAGUAUCACAAUUUUUCAAAUUCUCUUCAGCAUUUUUUUUCCUUUUAGUCCUUUCAGAAUGAGCGAGCCGCUGACUGAUAAAAGAUGGAACCCUCUUUUUCAUUCUGCUAGUGCUACUAUGAUUACUGUUGUCUCUUAAAUGGUUGUUUGGUGAAAAGUAGUUGCUUCGACAAUUUCUGCUGGUCGCAUUCUUUAUGGGUAAACCACCUGCUAGUUCUGUCGCAGCUACUGCCUCCUCUUGUAUGCUUGGUCUUAUGUAAAUAAACAACCUACUCCUGUUGCAGCAACUGCUUCCUCUUGUAGGAUUGGUCUUUUGUAACUUACCUCAUAGUCCUGUCUCAGCAUCUGCCUUCUCUUGUAUUCUUGGUCUUAUGUAACUAAAGCACCUCCUAGUCCUGUUGCAACAACUGCCUUCUCUUGCUGUUUGUGUUGCUGUGAGUGGAGUGCUUUGUGAAACCAGCUUCACUAGCUUAGGCAAUUUUAGGCCAUUCAUUAAAACUGAACCUGAUAAUGGCUGUUUAAGAGAUUUUUAGGCAUCUUUUUCCUACAGAAGCAAAAGAGGUUGUACCAUGGGCGGUAAUGUACCAUGGGCAGUGGUAAUUUGCUGGUUACUUUAUUGUAUGGUAUUGGACGAGGUGGUGUGCUAAAGCAAGGGCAUUUUGCAGUCUCCGAACUUAUGGUACUUGCUUGCAGUUGUGCUUGUAUAUUUCCAUGGGGUGUGGAGUAGAAUAUUCAUAAAACUGGAUUUUUUAAAGUACUUCCUUCUCUAUUCGAUGCAAGUAAUGGCGAGGAAGCUUGGAUGAUCUGGUGAUCUUCUGUUAAACAGCUGCAGCCAUCAGGUCGGAAGAUGAUGAAGCGAAAGUCCUCUGUAGGCAGCCUGCUACUCACCUAAUAAAACAGGAUUCAGCUUACCCUUCAACAUACUGUAAUAUGAUGAAGUGGAAAUCUCCGUGCUGCUGUUCCAAUGAAAUGUGCUAUUGGUGGCUUCUAAACAGAGUUGUGCAUUACCAUAAGCUAUCGAUUAGUUAAAAGUUGUUGACAGGGAUUGGAAUUUUUCAGGCAAAACGGUCUCCCAAUAUGUAAUUGAUCUGUGGAGGAGUCGUCAUGUGUCCCUACAGGAUUUUGAUCGUUACCCCCUGUUUGUAACUUUAAUUAUUUAAAAUGUAUGGUAAACUGUUGUUGAGUAAUAUAAAUCGGAUAGUGAAUGAACCUCAUGUAUUAAAUUUCAUUGUUUGAUGCUAACACUUUUAUUGGGAAGACUAUUGCUAUUGUCUAA